GACAGAACAGAGAGAGAGUGAGGGAUAAAGGUGAAGAUGAUGAUGGUUCAUUCAUCGUUAGAGAGACAAGGAAGCAGAGCUAACUUUUCGGACAGAUAAACUUGGAUAAAGGAUUUCCAGACUCUGGGAACAACGUGGCAGUGGCACACAACAAAACAACCAGAUUAUUCUUCAAUGUGACGCAGAAGCAACUAGACCAAGUUGAAUCAAUUCAAUCAGUAAUGAACUAGAACAGUGUGAUUAGCUGUAAGAUUAUGACUUGUUGUGGGCAGGCGGCUACAGUAUGACCUAGUGCAGGAUGUGAUCAUGUGUCUCUCUGCAGGCAAAAGACUCAUUUAUCAAAGAGUUAGAUAGAGGAACCUUGAGAAUGACAGGCAAUGUUUGGAAAAAGUGGAAGGGCGCAAGUUACCGUAACCAUGGUGGCGCUAUCUCUGUAGCUCAGGGAUGUGUUUUCAGAUGGGAGAGUGUGAUCUCUGCCUCACAAUGUUGCUACAAGGUUGCAGCAAAGUUGUGCAUUGGCUGAACGGGUGGGUCAGUGCUACAAGUGAGUAACGACAGACAGCGAGGCGGAAAGGAAAAUGAAUAUGGGAAAGUCUCAGUCAUUGUCGAGGACGUUUUUAGUGUUGUACUCUUUCAACCCCUCAAGCACCUCAGAACAGAGUUCUCUGGGAGUAUUAUGGGUACAUUUGUCAGGACAAACCCUACAAUACAAGAAGAAUCCAGGUCGUACCCCAAACAGGAACCAGUACCAUUAAAAUAGAGCUUAAGAAACUCCCUUAAGUGAACAAAUUCAACCUGAAGGUGUCUACAAUUUCCACUCACACAGCGAGCAGCCCCCCCCACAAUCAACUUAAAUCAUGACAUUUUUUGUAAAUGUUGAAACCUGCUUUCCAAAUAAAAGCAGAAUUAAAGAGGAAGUAAAACCACUGCAGGUGGAGAAAAGGAAUAGUUGAAUAUAAAUCAGAUGAUUGUGUCUGCGUGGCUCAUGUUUAAAGGGAGAGAAAAUAAUGGCCACCGUCGCAGUCUCCCUGCAGUGUCCAAUAAAACUAAGCUUGGCGUAUUUCACCCCGACAUGAACUGCGGAUAUUAAACCCCCCCACACUGUCCUUAUAAGCCCAGAGAGCGAGAGAGAGACAGGUAGGGAGGGAGAGAAAGAGAGAAGUAGGGAGAGAGAGAGAGAGAGAAAGGUAGGGAGGGAGAGAAAGAGAGAAGUAAGGGAGAGAGAGAGAGAGAAAGGUAGGGAGGGAGAGAAAGAGAGAAGUAGGGAGAGAGAGAGGGAGAAGGGGAGGACAGAAGGAAGGAAGAAAGAUUGAAAAUCUGUAUUUUACUCUCUCCUCGCUCAAGGCCACUAACCCGUGCGAUUACUCCUUGGAACGAAGGAUGAUAAACGUCUUCAAUGACUCACUUGAGCGGCUCAUCUUCCCUUUAUAUGCCAUCCAUUCCCCCUCUUUCUUUCCUCCCUUCCCUCGCUCUCUUUCAACUCAAGUCUAAGUUAUGUGAUCUUACAGGUGUCCUGUCUCGGGCCUGAAUAUGCUGGGUCUCAAGUGAAUCCGGGGUGUAAAUUACUUGACAUGCCCAUCUGACACUAUCCUCUCUUUGGAUACAAAAGCGCCUCUCUCAGCAUCUCUGAGUUUCUACUGUAUUUCUCAGAUGUGUUUAGUAAGGAGCGUUGGCCAAAGUUUUGAGUAAUGACAAUAUUCUAAUGUUAGGUGAUUUAUACUGAGCGUUUGUCAGGAAAGCAGCUCCAGGAUAUCGAUAACGACAAGUUUAGAGCACUGCAAGCUAAAUCACAGACAGAUGCAUGCACACAUGCACUAUAUCAUAUAUCACAUAAUUACAGUCACAAACAGAGAAUUGGUACAGUUGUAAAAGUGGAGAAAUGAGAGGGAAACAAGGAGCAGUUUGUACUGCAGCAUUAAGACUUGUUCUGUUUUACACUGAGACACAGAAUCACACACACUUGCUCUCAUGUCAAUCCUCCAGAUCAAAUGUUUUUUGUCACAGGUAUAAAACAGCUAACAGCAGGUAUAAAACAGCUAACAGCAGGUAUAAAACCACUAACAGCAGGUAUACAACAGCUAACAUCAGGUAUAAAACAGCUAACAGCAGGUAUAAAACCACAAACAGCAGGUAUACACUAGCUAACAUCAGGUAUUAAACAGUUAACAGCAGGUAAAAAAACACUAACAGCAGGUAAAAAACCACCAACAGCAGGUAUAAAACAACUAACAGCAGGUAUUAAACAGUUAACAGCAGGUAUAAAACCACUAACAGCAGGUAUAAAACCGCUAACAGCAGGUAUAAAACCGUUAACAGCAGGUAUUAAACCACUAACAGCAGGUAUAAAACCGUUGACAGCAGGCAUAAAACCGUUGACAGCAGGUAUAAAACCACUAACAGCAGGUAUAAAACCAUUGACAGCAGUUAUAAAACCACUAACAGCAAGUAUAAAACCACUAACGGCAGGUAUAAAACCACUAACAGCAGGUAUAAACCGUUAACAGCAGGUAUAAAACCACUAACAGCAGGUAUAAAACCACUAACAGCAGGUAUAAACCCACUAACAGCAGGUAUAAACCGUUAACAGCAGGUAUAAAACCGUUAACAGCAGGUAUAAAACCGUUAACAGCAGGUAUAAAACCGUUAACAGCAGGUAUAAAACCGUUAGCAGGUAUACAACAGUUAACAGCAGGUAUAAAACCGUUGAUAGCAGGUAUACAACAGUUAACAGCAGGUAUAAAACCAUUAACAGCAGGUAUAAAACCGCCAACAGCAGGUAUAAAACCACUAACAGCAGGUAUAAAACCACUAACAGCAGGUAUAAAACCGUUAACAGCAGGUAUAAACCGUUAACAGCAGGUAUAAAACCGUUGAUAGCAGGUAUACAAAGUUAACAGCAGGUAUAAAACCAUUAACAGCAGGUAUAAAACCGCUAACAGCAGGUAUAAAACCACUAACAGCAGGUAUAAAACCACUAACAGCAGG